UGAUAUUGGACACAGUCAAACCCAGAGAAGC
rnacentral:piRNA from 1 species